GACAGAGGAUGCAAGCGUUAUCCGGAAUAAUUGGGCGUAAAGCGUCUGUAGGUGGCUUUUUAAGUCUGCCGUCAAAUCCCAGGGCUUAACCCUGGACAGGCGGUGGAAACUACCAAGCUGGAGUACGGUAGGGGCAGAGGGAAUUUCCGGUGGAGCGGUGAAAUGCGUAGAGAUCGGAAAGAACACCAACGGCGAAGGCACUCUGCUGGGCCGACACUGACACUGAGAGACGAAAGCUAGGGGAGCAAAUGGG
rnacentral:rRNA from 1 species